rnacentral:rRNA from 1 species
UACGGAGGGUGCAAGCGUUAUCCGGAUUUACUGGGUUUAAAGGGUGCGCAGGCGGAUAUGUAAGUCAGUGGUGAAAUCUCUAGGCUUAACCUGGAAAUUGCCGUUGAUACUAUAUAUCUUGAAUGCUGUGGAGGUAAGCGGAAUAUGUCAUGUAGCGGUGAAAUGUCUUAGAUAUGACAUAGAACACCUAUUGCGAAGGCAGCUUACUACGCAGAUAUUGACGCUCAUGCACGAA